rnacentral:misc_RNA from 1 species
UUUUUGGCCCUUAAUCCUGCUGCGAACUACAUAACUGGACAGGUAUUCGCUAUUGAUGGCGGAAUGGUUAUGUAAGCACUGCUGCAGCUUUGUCGAUUUUCGUUGGCAGUUGGCCAGCACUGAAUCUGCGGGAUGACUUUUUCAUGGUUGCUGAGUAUGGAUUAUGAAAGCUACAUUGUUUUUCUUGCAAUUUUUUUUUAGUUUUGAGGCUUUUGGUUAUUAGAAUUCAG